UACGUAGGGACCAAGCGUUGUUCGGAUUUACUGGGCGUAAAGGGCGCGUAGGCGGCAAUUCAAGUCAGCUGUGAAAUCUCCGGGCUUAACUCGGAACGGUCAGCUGAUACUGCUUUGCUAGAGUGCAGAAGGGGCAACUGGAAUUCUCGGUGUAGCGGUGAAAUGCGUAGAUAUCGAGAGGAACACCUGCGGCGAAGGCGGGUUGCUGGGCUGACACUGACGCUGAUGCGCGAAAGCCAGGGGAGCGAACGGG
rnacentral:rRNA from 1 species